rnacentral:misc_RNA from 1 species
GAUGAAGAACGCAGCGAAAUGCGAUAAGUAAUGUGAAUUGCAGAAUUCAGUGAAUCAUCGAAUCUUUGAACGCACAUUGCGCCCGCCAGUAUUCUGGCGGGCAUGCCUGUCCGAGCGUCAUUUCAACCCUCGAACCCCUCCGGGGGGUCGGCGUUGGGGACCUCGGGAGCCCCUAAGACGGGAUCCCGGCCCCGAAAUACAGUGGCGGUCUCGCCGCAGCCUCUCCUGCGCAGUAGUUUGCACAACUCGCACCGGGAGCGCGGCGCGUCCACGUCCGUAAAACACCCAACUUCUGAAAUGUUGACCUCAGAUCAGGUAGGAAUACCCGCUGAACUUAAGCAUAUCAAUAAGCGGAGGA